rnacentral:rRNA from 1 species
UACGUAGGGCGCAAGCGUUGUCCGGAAUUAUUGGGCGUAAAGAGCUCGUAGGCGGUCUGUCGCGUCGGAUGUGAAAGCCCGGGGCUUAACCCCGGGUCUGCAUUCGAUACGGGCAGACUAGAGUGUGGUAGGGGAGAUCGGAAUUCCUGGUGUAGCGGUGAAAUGCGCAGAUAUCAGGAGGAACACCGGUGGCGAAGGCGGAUCUCUGGACCGGUUCUGACGCUGAGGCGCGAAAGCGUGGGUAGCAAACAGG